UUUUUUAGAGAUCCCCUGUUAUUGAAGCCUAUUUUGUAAGGGACCAUCUUUAUCUCUUGACCUUUUACCUUAGCCAAAUGAGUUCAUUGAUGAUGCAUUACUUGAUUCACGUUCCAGAACUAAUGAAUGUUAAAGGGAUUGGUAGAUUUGAAAACAUGUGUAGGUCGAGCAUAUGAGUAGAAUUCGAUCAUAUCGCAGCUUAGAACUAUCAACUUGGACAUUGAUUUCAUCUGGUUUAUUUGGUGCUUUGGCUCUGAGUCCCAGCUUUCAAACCUCACCUCCAGCUUGUUCUUAAUUGUUUGCUUGAGGGCAAGCAAAGACAAAUUUUGGGGGAGUUGAUAAGUGUGUAUUUUGCAUGUUUUGAGCAUCCAUUUGUCAUCAUUUUAGCACCAUAUCAUCACCGUUUUAUACCAUUUCUCAUCAUUUGUCAUCACUUUGCAUGUUUAGUAUAGGUUUGCAUGCAUGUUGCAUAUA
rnacentral:sRNA from 1 species